AUUGAACGCUGGCGGCAGGCCUAACACAUGCAAGUCGAGCGGAUGAAGGGAGCUUGCUCCUGGAUUCAGCGGCGGACGGGUGAGUAAUGCCUAGGAAUCUGCCUGGUAGUGGGGGAUAACGUCCGGAAACGGGCGCUAAUACCGCAUACGUCCUGAGGGAGAAAGUGGGGGAUCUUCGGACCUCACGCUAUCAGAUGAGCCUAGGUCGGAUUAGCUAGUUGGUGGGGUAAAGGCCUACCAAGGCGACGAUCCGUAACUGGUCGGAGAGGAUGAUCAGUCACACUGGAACUGAGACACGGACCAGACGCCUACGGGAGGCAGCAGUGGGGAAUAUUGGACAAUGGUCGAAAGCCUGAUCCAGCCAUGCCGCGUGUGAGAAGAAGGUCUUCGGAUUGUAAAGCACUUUAAGUUGGGAUGAAGGGCAGUAAGUUAAUACCUUGCUGUUUUGACGUUACCAACAGAAUAAGCACCGGCUAACUUCGUG
rnacentral:rRNA from 1 species